rnacentral:rRNA from 1 species
GGUGAGUAACACGUGAGCAACCUGCCCCUGACUCUGGGAUAAGCGCUGGAAACGGCGUCUAAUACUGGAUACGAGUAGCGAUCGCAUGGUCAGUUACUGGAAAGAUUUUUUGGUUGGGGAUGGGCUCGCGGCCUAUCAGCUUGUUGGUGAGGUAAUGGCUCACCAAGGCGUCGACGGGUAGCCGGCCUGAGAGGGUGACCGGCCACACUGGGACUGAGACACGGCCCAGACUCCUACGGGAGGCAGCAGUGGGGAAUAUUGCACAAUGGGCGAAAGCCUGAUGCAGCAACGCCGCGUGAGGGAUGACGGCCUUCGGGUUGUAAACCUCUUUUAGCAGGGAAGAAGCGAAAGUGACGGUACCUGCAGAAAAAGCGCCGGCUAACUACGUGCCAGCAGCCGCGGUAAUACGUAGGGCGCAAGCGUUAUCCGGAAUUAUUGGGCGUAAAGAGCUCGUAGGCGGUUUGUCGCGUCUGCUGUGAAAUCCCGAGGCUCAACCUCGGGCCUGCAGUGGGUACGGGCAGACUAGAGUGCGGUAGGGGAGAUUGGAAUUCCUGGUGUAGCGGUGGAAUGCGCAGAUAUCAGGAGGAACACCGAUGGCGAAGGCAGAUCUCUGGGCCGUAACUGACGCUGAGGAGCGAAAGGGUGGGGAGCAAACAGGCUUAGAUACCCUGGUAGUCCACCCCGUAAACGUUGGGAACUAGUUGUGGGGUCCAUUCCACGGAUUCCGUGACG